GGGGAUACAGCUUAGUUGGUAGAGUGCUUGCCUCACAUGCACAAAGCCCUGGGUUCAAUCCCCAGCAAUGCCCCCU
rnacentral:tRNA from 1 species